UGAAGAUGAAAAGGUACUUGUAGGUGUCC
rnacentral:piRNA from 1 species